AAAAGAUGCACAGGGAGGAAGUUUUCACAAAUCUUUGAGGGUGCGAAGGUGAACAUAUCUACUGGUAAAUACACACCAACAGGUAAAUAAAAAGGAGCAUACCUUUUGUAAAGUUUAUGGUUUGAACUACGGUUUGUAUGAAUUUUAUUUUAUGUGAUUUAUUUUAUCUGUAUUUUGAUGUGAAUUUAAUCCAUUAAUUGAAUCCAGUUAGGUUAAUAAAUUAUUUAAACUGCUUGUUUAAAGUGGAAUCCAAAAUCUAAGACUGCUAGUGGCUGUAUUGUAUUGUAAAUUGUUCUUUUAUAUUUUAUAUAUUAAUAUAUAUUAAUAUAGUAAUAUAUAAGGGUUAGCACUGCAUUUGCGGUGUUAACCCCACAUUGCAGUGCUAAGUUUGUUCAGUGUGAAACGGAGGUGUUUGCUUGUUGCUGCUGGACUCUUGGCAACAUAUAUAUGUACAUAUAUAUAUAUAUGUAUGUCACCAAUGCUAAUACAUAUACAGUUAUUAAUUAUUAAUAUAUAAAGAAUAAUAUGUAAAAACUGAUUUAUUAGCAUAACCAUGUGAGUGAAAUAUUGAAGAGAGAUUACUUACCAAGAAAAAGUGUACAAUCCUUAAUAUUUCUUAUUAUUUUUACAUUACAAUUUUUAUUUAUUGUACAUGAUCUAUCUAUCUAUCUAUCUAUCUAUCUAUCUAUCUAUAUAUCUAUCUAUCUAUCUAUCUAUCUAUCUAUAUAUCUAUCUAUCUAUCUAUCUAUCUAUCUAUCUAUCUGUCUAUCUGUCUAUCUGUCUAAGUAUAAAUUAGAUUUCGAAUCAGACUCCUCUAGGCUUAAACAAAUAACUACUUUUAUCAUUUUUGAUAAAAUUUAUUGUAUCAUUUUUAGAAUUAAUUCCAUAAAGUAUAUGUGUAUUAUAUCAGAUUUUAUUUUAAUAUUAAUUUGAUUAAAUGUGUAUACUCUUUCCCACAGAUAUGGAGAGCAAGCUGAUGUUUUUGGUGGUUUGUGUGAUUGGUUGUGCAGUGUCUUGCAUAAAGGCUGACGGGCACCUAUCAACGCCAACAAAUUUAACUUCCAACAUCACCCGCAAUGAGUGUGGAAAAACCAAACUGUGUUUGGACAACCCUAAAGGAUGUGAUCCUUCAGGCAGCUCUCAGUGUUUCUUCACCUCAGUACAGAUUAUCUUAACUACCUUCAACCUGACGGUUGAGCUCAGUGGCAACUCCAUCGGUUACAUUGCUUUAGCAGCUGGAGUGACAUCUAGUGUGGCUCAGGGCCUCAAUAUCAUCUUUGUCUGUGGCAAUAAUAAUGGCAGGUUCUUCUUCCGGACUGCAACACUCUUUAAUAAUACACUGCUGACAACAAAUGUACCCAAUGUAAACAAUAUCCAGGGUUCAAUACAACCAAGCUUGAUUCAGUGUGUUUUCAGCAUCCCCAUUGAUACAAACACCCUUAACUUCCUAAGCAAUGUCAAUGCCACAAAUGUCAACAUUAGCAACAUUGCUAAUUCCCAGCUGAAUGUUUUCCUUGACAUGUUGCAGGGUUCAACCAAUGGAACUGUUCUGGGAGAACCAAAAAGUGUAUUUGGGUCCUCUGUUCCAGUGGAUCUAGCUAAUGUCAACUCCACUAAUGUUGUUGACCCCAUAGCUAAUUCAAAAGACAGCAUCUCACUCAACAGCCUACUGAGUCAUGCUGCAAUUUGCCUUCUCAGUAUCUUCUUGCAUCUGAUCUCAGGGUCCUGAGAGAGAGAUCUGAAGACUAACCAUGCUGUGGAUGGAGUAGUAUAGAUUUGCACUAGAAUCAGCAUGUUUUCCUAAAGUAUUCAUACCUCCACUGGUGUCUUUCUUUAUUUGAUUCUUAGAUUAUUCACAAACAUAUAGGAAACCCAUGUAUGUUUGACAUAUACAGGGUGUUGGACACAUAUAUAAAGCUUAUAUAUAAACAUACACAUAUAUAAAGCCCAAUCACGCACACAUACACACACACAUAAUCUUUUACAUUAUACUGACAGUGGAAAUGAUCCUGAAAACUUUUUGAAGUUACAUUAAAAGCUUAUUAACAAAAAUAAUAACAUUAAAAUACAGUGUUAUUUAUUUAUUUUUUUUUCUGGGGUGAUAUUAUCUAUUACAUACACACUGAAUAAUAUCUUCACUGCUCAUUUUGCAUGAACACCAUUUUAAGAAUCUCUGUCUACCACAAAACAAUAUAUGUGGCAGAACUAAUUGAGAGUGGUGUUUUAGAUUCUAACGAUAUUAAUAAGUAGUAAUAAAUAAAUUAUAAAUAAUUAUUCUGGAAGAUCU
ensembl:lncRNA